rnacentral:rRNA from 1 species
GAUGAACGCUGGCGGCGUGCCUAAUACAUGCAAGUCGAGCGAACAGACGAGGAGCUUGCUCCUCUGACGUUAGCGGCGGACGGGUGAGUAACACGUGGAUAACCUACCUAUAAGACUGGGAUAACUUCGGGAAACCGGAGCUAAUACCGGAUAAUAUAUUGAACCGCAUGGUUCAAUAGUGAAAGACGGUUCUGCUGCCACUUAUAGAUGGAUCCGCGCCGCAUUAGCUAGUUGGUAAGGUAACGGCUUACCAAGGCAACGAUGCGUAGCCGACCUGAGAGGGUGGUCGGCCACACUGGAACUGAGACGCGGUCCAGACUCCUACGGGAGGCAGCAGUAGGGAAUCUUCCGCAAUGGGCGAAAGCCUGACGGAGCAACGCCGCGUGAGUGAUGAAGGUCUUCGGAUCGUAAAACUCUGUUAUUAGGGAAGAACAACUGUGUAAGUAACUAUGCACGUCUUGACGGUACCUAAUCAGAACGCCACGGCUAACUACGUG